AUUGAACGCUGGCGGCAUGCUUUACACAUGCAAGUCGAACGGCAGCACGGAGGCAACCCUGGUGGCGAGUGGCGAACAGGUGAGUAAUGCAUCGGAACGUGCCCUGUCGUGGGGGAUAACACAUCGAAAGAUGUGCUAAUACCGCAUACGACCUGAGGGUGAAAGCGGGGGACCGUAAGGCCUCGCGCGAUAGGAGCGGCCGAUGUCUGAUUAGCUAGUUGGUGGGGUAAAGGCCUACCAAGGCGACGAUCAGUAGCUGGUCUGAGAGGACGACCAGCCACACUGGGACUGAGACACGGCCCAGACUCCUACGGGAGGCAGCAGUGGGGAAUUUUGGACAAUGGGGGCAACCCUGAUCCAGCCAUGCCGCGUGCGGGAAGAAGGCCUUCGGGUUGUAAACCGCUUUUGGCAGGAACGAAACGGUGCGGGCGAAUACCCUGUGCUAAUGACGGUACCUGCAGAAUAAGCACCGGCUAACUACGUGCCAGCCGCCGCCGUAAAAC
rnacentral:rRNA from 1 species